GUCCCAGACUCCUACGGGAGGCAGCAGUGGGGAAUAUUGCACAAUGGGGGGAACCCUGAUGCAGCGACGCCGCGUGGGCGAUGGAAUGCUUCGGCAUGUAAAGCCCUAUCAGCAGGGAAGAAAAUGACGGUACCUGACUAAGAAGCCCCGGCUAAAUACGUGCCAGCAGCCGCGGUAAUACGGAGGAUGCGAGCGUUAUCCGGAUUUAUUGGGUUUAAAGGGUGCGCAGGCGGAAUGUCAAGUCAGCGGUAAAAUUUCGGGGCUCAACCCCGUCGUGCCGUUGAAACUGGCGUUCUUGAGUGAGCGAGAAGUAUGCGGAAUGCGUGGUGUAGCGGUGAAAUGCAUAGAUAUCACGCAGAACUCCGAUUGCGAAGGCAGCAUACCGGCGCUCAACUGACGCUCAUGCACGAAAGCGUGGGUAUCGAACAGGAUUAGAUACCCGAGUA
rnacentral:rRNA from 1 species